GAUGAACGCUGGCGGCGUGCCUAAUACAUGCAAGUCGAGCGAACAGAUGAUGAGCUUGCUCCUCUGACGUUAGCGGCGGACGUGUGAGUAACACGUGUAUAACCUACCUAUAAGACUGGGAUAACUUCGGGAAACCGGAGCUAAUACCGUAUAAUAUAUUGAACCGCAUUGUUCAAUAGUGAAAUACGGUUUUGCUGUCACUUAUAGAUGGAUCCGCGCCGCAUUAGCUAGUUGGUAAGGUAACGGCUUACUAAGGCAACGAUGCGUAGCCGACCUGAGAGGGUGAUCGGCCACACUGGAACUGAGACACGGUCAAGACUACUACGGGAGGCAGCAGUAGGGAAUCUUCCGCAAUGGGCGAAAGCCUGACGGAGCAACGCCGCGUGAGUGAUGGAGGUCUUCGGAUCGUAAAACUCUGUUAUUAGGGAAGAACAAAUGUGUAAGUAAAUAUGCACGUAUUGACGGUACCUAAUCAGAAAGCAACGGCUAACUACGUG
rnacentral:rRNA from 1 species